rnacentral:lncRNA from 1 species
ACAAACAUGAAGCUGUUGUGUUAACAAGACGUCUGUUUUAUUAGAUCAAGUACAAAAAAAAUCAUAUUCACAAGAAUCUUAUAUGGCAGGAGUAAAAAAAGGGUACAUAGAUUCGCUAAGUCUCCAAUCCAAAAGGCAUCAACAAUAAUAUAACAAUUAUAGUACAUUUUAGGACUUAUAAAAUGGGAGCUUGAUAGAAUGUAAAGCUCCUGUCAAUAUGAAAACAUGCAGAUCUGCACAAGGAAAGCUGGAAGAUAAAUACAGAUAUUGUUGCUACAAAAAUACCAUAAACUACCUUUCAACUCAUAAUUGAUCCUGUUCUUGCAUCUGAUACCUAUAAACACUCCUUGCUGACAUUCGCCCAGCAGAGUUGUACCAUCUACAACUUUGAAUGAUCUGGAACGUAUGCCAAACAGACAAGGAAGAAUAUUGUAAACAAUCACUUUAAGAUUUCACUCCAAGUUGUGCAAAGCUUAAAUAUUAGAUAAUUGAGAGAAGAACACAUACAGAAGAGAACAGAUGCUCUUGUGGCAGGCAAACUGUACUCGUAUAGAAGCAAAGUAUGAGUAGCUUCAGCCAAGGGUGUGAUGUUUGGAGCUUAACAAUAGUUGUUGAGUAUAUGUCUGAUGUGGAAAAUGAUGCCUAUACAGAAUGUAGGAAGAUGAUUCCCAUUUAAUUGUCACUGGUAUGUGAUUGUAUCAUUGGAACAGAUGGCACCCCAGAUCAAAGGCAGAUCAUCCCCUACACAAUCCAGCUACACUCUACUGCUUGUACAGUUGUGCGGUAUCUGAAAAAGGAAAGUUUGUUUGUUAUCUGCAAAAUAAGCAUUUAAAUGUGCCAGUAUAUUGGAUGUUUGACUAUGCUGAAAACGUUAAUUGAAUAAAACUUCAAGUAUGCUUCCUUCAAAAUUUCAAAUUAACCUUCAUGAGCACAUUUCUGUCUUUAGUAUAAAGGGUUUUUACAGCAUACCAUUACGAUUUUCUAAGUAGGAUUCCAACGAAAUUUUUUGAUUGUCUAACUAAAUAUCAACAACUGAAACUCUGAGAGCCUUUGAAUUUCCUUAAGCACAAAAUUUUAUAAGCAGCCUCCAGCUGAACUGCAUUAAUCUCAAGGAUAGGGCAGGCGUCCAAUUAUAAAAUAAUUAUAGAUGAAACACUUGUUUGAAAUAUAUGUACCAGAACUAUCAUUACUAUUUAAAUAGUAGCAAAGAAAAUCAUAAACACAUUAGAUAUUACAAACUAACACCCGUAUCCCAUUCCUUUAGAUACUGCACUAUAAGAAUCAAGAUCUUGCUCGGCCAUUUUAUAUAGCAGGUGAUGCUCUGACUCAGAUGUUCAACAUUUUGCAUACAAAAUAAUUUAACAAGUCCAUGCUUGUGAAUCAGGCUCUAAACCAGUUCUUAUCACAUGGCCAAAUAAAUGUCUUACCUUCUAAUCCGGUACAAAUAUGAAUCAAACGUGAAUAAAAUAUAAUAUACGGUACACAUAUUAUUUGGCAUUUUUGUAGUAAAGACUUGUUUCUGAGUACGUACCUGAUCAUUUUCAGCUCAAAUUCCUCUCAAAUCAUGUUGAGUGAUUCUAGAUACAAAAAGUAAGUAUGGUUGACAGAUCAUCAAAACUGUUCAAUCAAAUAAGAUUGUGAUAUGAUGCAAUGCACCCACAGCCAUCCCGAACCCUCAAAAGUUGCCAUUCUCAAUUAUGUUUAGAUUUUUAUGUUUUUAUGGUUUUGGACAUGCUUGGUUUAUAAUCUUUAGAAGGUGGUGGACAUGUUUAGAUUUUAUAUGCUAAUGGCUUUGGACAUAUUUUUAUUUAUGAAUAUGAAUUUUAAACUUAUGUAGAAUUUUUCUUGUUUUCU